rnacentral:rRNA from 1 species
AAGCGGCGGACGGGUGAGUAACGCGUGGGUAACCUACCCUGUACACACGGAUAACAUACCGAAAGGUAUGCUAAUACGGGAUAAUAUAUUUGAGAGGCAUCUCUUAAAUAUCAAAGGUGAGCCAGUACAGGAUGGACCCGCGUCUGAUUAGCUAGUUGGUAAGGUAACGGCUUACCAAGGCGACGAUCAGUAGCCGACCUGAGAGGGUGAUCGGCCACAUUGGAACCGAGACACGGUCCAA